AGUGAACGCUGGCGGUAGGCCUAACACAUGCAAGUCGAACGGCAGCACAGGAGAGCUUGCUCUCUGGGUGGCGAGUGGCGGACGGGUGAGGAAUACAUCGGAAUCUACUCUGUCGUGGGGGAUAACGCAGGGAAACUUACGCUAAUACCGCAUACGACCUACGGGUGAAAGCAGGGGACCUUCGGGCCUUGCGCGAUUGAAUGAGCCGGUGUCGGAUUAGCUAGUUGGCGGGGUAAAGGCCCACCAAGGCGACGAUCCGUAGCUGGUCUGAGAGGAUGAUCAGCCGCACUGGAACUGAGACACGGUCCAGACUCCUACGGGAGGCAGCAGUGGGGAAUAUUGGACAAUGGGCGCAAGCCUGAUCCAGCCAUACCGCGUGGGUGAAGAAGGCCUUCGGGUUGUAAAACCCUUUUGUUGGGAAAGAAAUCCAGCUGGCUAAUACCCGGUUGGGAUGACGGUACCCAAAGAAUAAGCACCGGCUAACUUCGUGCCAGCCGCCGCAGUAA
rnacentral:rRNA from 1 species